GCUGGACAUGGUGGUGCACACUUGUAGUCCCAGCUACUCUGGAGGCUGAGGUGGGAGGAUCACUUGAGCCCAGGAGUUCUGGGCUGUAGUGCACUAUGCUGUUUGGGUGCCUGCAAUAAGUUUGGCAUCAAUACGGCAAACUCUUGGGAGUGGGGGACCAUCAGGUUGCCUAAGGAGGGGUAAACCAGCCCAGGUCAGAAAUGGAGCAGGUCAAAACUCCCAUGCUGAUGAGUAGUGGGAUUAUACAAAUUAACUCAUAAUGGAUCAAAGAUCUAAAUGUAAGAGCUAAAAGUAUAAAAUCCUAG
rnacentral:SRP_RNA from 10 species